UAUGUUUUGUCGCAUUUGUAGUCACUUGUAAAGUUACCUUCAGUUAAUAAACUUCAUUAUUUUUAUCGCCUGUCUAUUUUCAGAUUUGUUUUAAAUGGUGAUUUAAAUGACAAUUACCUGCGUGAAUCAUAACAAUAACUGUGUUUUACUAAAGCGACCUGUAAAGAAGACACUAUGAAGAAUCUGAUGUUGAUCGUUUUGAUACUGUUCAUAACUAUAGAUAUUGUGUAUUCUAGACAUGAAUGUGCGUGUUUGGCGGUUUGGGAUCCAGUUUGCUCCACAACUAAUGAGACUCACAGUAAUUAUGGUUGCCUAAGUUGCGCCCAUCAAGUUUAUGCUUGCGAUGGUGCAUGUCCAUGUGUGAAAAACUGAGUAAGAUGGAAUAAAAUAUUUUAAAUAUAUAUAUUAAAAUAUUCAAAGAAAAAAAACAUUUUCACAUU